UUCGACCGCACAUCAGUCAUUCCCUUCCUGAAGAUAAGCGACACUGCACGACCAACGAAGCACAGCAGUUUGCAGGAAUACCGCGAAUAUGAAUAAAUUGGCCACUUUUCUCGUUGGAUUCCUAUUUGCUCUGCAUUUUGCAUCAAUGCUGGUAACCGCGCAACCGACUGGACCAACAACGACUGGACCAGUAACAAACACUACCGUGUCCAAUUCAACCACACCGGGCACCGGCGCGGGAGAGGGCGUGCGGUCGAGCGCUUCUUUGCUGCUCCCAACCGUGAUGACGGCCUUUCUCUUUUACGGGCGUUGCUAAUUCUAUCAUAAACGAUUGUCCAGCACUAAACGCACUGCAAGGCCCAACACCAGAGGCAGCAUGGGCAACAUCACUGGAGCAGGUGCGUCCAUUAACGAGCCAACCUCCCCCGGUGAAAGUUAUUUGUUUUAAGGUCUGCGAACCUUUUUGUUUUUGGGUUUUAAAUAAGUAGCCUCGACAACAGAGUUGUACUUGGAUGGAUCAGCUGUUUUGUUUGCUAUUGUUGCGUGUCUGUACGAUCGUCGUGGACUAGAGUAAAUGUAAAGUCGCCCGUGCCUGGGAUAUCAACGAUGUUGUUGGAGGCGCAUUGUGGAAAUUAUUACUCCUUAAUCAUAUUUGUAUACACUGAUAAAUGCCUCUAUAUUUGUAUUGCAAAUGUAUCAGAUCUUGGAUCAUAAUUAAUAUGCCGUGCUUUUAGAACUUUGUGAAUGCAAUUGUCUGUACAAUAAAAAUAUUGCCUCUUACACUUGUAGUGUUGCAAGUAGGCCUAUUGAUUUUUGAGGGACUCUCCUACAGGCUACAUGGGCCUGGCGCAUAGUUGACUACUACGCUGCUUUAUUGUAGUGGUUCCACUUCAUCUGAUUCAGUUCCAAUGUCUUUGUCCCAGCGUGUUGAACAAUGGCUUAAAUGUCUGCUGAAUUCUGCCUCUCCCACUUGGAAGUUAAAUUUAUUUUUUCGUAUCAAAUUGCAUUCAAAUGCCAUGGGUCAUUAAUUUGCAGGCCUAAGUUAUCAACUUGGCUCAGUUUCAAGGAAAUGUUAACUAAAUUGCCAUGACCAAUGACUCACUAGCCUACCGGAAUGGCAUUUGUUGCAAUGGAAUUCACCUGCUUGCCCCAAUUAUCCUUAAACACUGCCACAGAUGCCAUACAAACAUUUGACCAGUCUAGAAAGGGAUCCUUGCUUGCUGAGGAUUGCGUUUCAUCCUGCCAACAAUGGGCCUAUUGUCUAUGCAGGCACUCUUAUCUCGCAUGGUUUAAACAACUGAAUCCAAAGCACACUUAAGCCCUAGUCCUACCUGUGCAACUAGGCCUACUUUAACCCCAAAAUCUCAGUUGCCUGUAAUUUGACGUUAGUUAGUAAAACUACACGCUACGUAGGCCUAUGUGGUGUAUUACACCUGAAUGUUUUUAUUUUUUGUACCCGAGGGACAAUGAGGGGGGUUGAAGGUGGGGGGACAUGGAGGUAUGCAGGCGGUCUGAAAGGUGAAGGACACUGGCACUUAUCAGUGAUGCGGAGUGAAGAGUCAUCAACGAGGUGAACCACCAGCCUAGAGCUGCAUUCCAUCAAACGGGUCUAAAUUAAUUCACCCGAGAUAGUCACUGACUUUUGCAAUGUAGGCCUAUCUCGGCUUAAAGGACGAAAUCGAUUUCAAACCGUUUAGUUUCCGUCCAGGUUUCACCAAGACAUCGGUAACUUACCAAUCAAACUAAUCAUUUCGUUGUGUCGAUUCUUCGUGCUAUUCGUGUGAGCGCAAAAUUAGGUAGAAUAUAAUUUGCCAAGUUGUGUCAAAUGGUAUUUGCGACGGAUGUUUAAAUGAAGUGAAUCCAGGGAGACAGUUAUGAUGGUUUGGUCACAGCCCGUAAUCCGUGAGGGGGCAACCAAAAUAGUUCAGGAGUAUUUAUUUGAUUUGUUUGUGUUUGCAUCUGUUUCAAGCCAUAUUGCCUACCUUGUUUCCUUUCCUAAUCCAACCCUCCGUGUUUCUCUCAAACAAGUUCAACCGUCUAUCGUCAAGUCUCAAGUAAUUUGAGAGCAGCAGGGGAAAGGAGAACUAAAUCCAAUUUCAAAGUUAAUGCAAUUAAACAAUUAUGGAUAGUUCCCUGUGCUUUCCCCCACCCCCAGGGCUUUUUGAAUAGUUUAUUAAGCUUUCAAAUCCGCGGUUAAGGACACUUCUCAAAUUUACCUGCAUUUGCUUGCUUGUGCGUGUGUGUGUGUGUGAAGAGAAAGGGAGGGGAGACAGAGAGAGGUCUCAUUCAAAGCAGCCAACCAAGAUGAUCCCACGGGGUCCGCUGGCCACCCGCCAAACUGAAGGCCACUUCGGUACAACUGGACCACGGCACCCACCUUGUCCUCUGGAGUCAACAUGCACAAUAACAGAGAGUGGCCCAAUAACAGAGAGGCAGCACACCAAGUUACCACAGUGCACUUGCUCC